GCUUCCUACGGGAGGCAGCAGUGGGGAAUUUUGGACAAUGGGCGCAAGCCUGAUCCAGCAAUGCCGCGUGAGUGAAGAAGGCCUUCGGGUUGUAAAGCUCUUUUGUCAGGGAAGAAACGGCUGAGGAUAAUACCUUCGGCUAAUGACGGUACCUGAAGAAUAAGCACCGGCUAACUACGUGCCAGCAGCCGCGGUAAUACGUAGGGUGCAAGCGUUAAUCGGAAUUACUGGGCGUAAAGCGUGCGCAGGCGGUUUUGUAAGUCUGACGUGAAAUCCCCGGGCUCAACCUGGGAAUUGCGUUGGAGACUGCAAGGCUGGAGUCUGGCAGAGGGGGGUAGAAUUCCACGUGUAGCAGUGAAAUGCGUAGAGAUGUGGAGGAACACCGAUGGCGAAGGCAGCCCCCUGGGUCAAGACUGACGCUCAUGCACGAAAGCGUGGGGAGCAAACAGGAUUAGAUACCCUGGUAGUCCACGCCCUAAACGAUGUCUACUAGUUGUCGGGUCUUAAUUGACUUGGUAACGCAGCUAACGCGUGAAGUAGACCGCCUGGGGAGUACGGUCGCAAGAUUAAAACUCAAAGGAAUUGACGGAA
rnacentral:rRNA from 1 species